UCUUGGUGAUCACAACCUCACAACCACAUUUUCUUUCGUGGAAGAUACCGUCGAGUGUACACGUCGAAACGAAAUCUGAAAUAAUCGAGCGAUUCUAGAGCGAUCUAAAAGCCUUCAAGUCGUAAGAUGAGAGCUAAGUGGCGUAAGAAGAGAAUGCGCAGGCUAAAGCGUAAGAGGAGGAAGAUGCGUGCGAGGUCCAAGUAAAACAACUGCAUAUAUACCUACAUACACGUGGUCUCUCCUUAGCAAGAUCAGACCUGCGAUACUUCCAUCAAGAAUUCCAGUUGCAUCUUCAGUUGAAAAUUUCAAAGAAGAUACACUUCAGCGGAUGCGUGUUUCGCACAGAGAACCAUUUUAUACAUGUAAAUCUUCUUGGUAAAAUGCAGUGAUUAAUCAAGGUGAA